UAAAUGAGUUAUGUGUUAACUCA
rnacentral:siRNA from 1 species